rnacentral:lncRNA from 1 species
AUUUUCAAGGUAGAGACAGGUCAACUUGGUUUCUAGAGAUAUGGUGCUAUUCAGUAUUCCAUCCCCCACUUCAUCCUCCGAUUUCAAGAGGAGAAAGAAACUCCUCAAAUAUUUUUUAUAUUGACUUUUGUUCCUUUUGCUUAUCUGCUGCUUACUUUUAGUUUGAGAAAUAAAUAUAAUAAUAUUGCUUAUAUGGAACUUUUUUCACAUAUUUACAGAAAUGAAAAUUUAAGUUUCCAGUUACUGCUCUCUUGAACGGAGGAACUGCCACCUUUUAUAGCCGUAGAAAACAAGAACCUGUGAGACUAAAUGUUCCUGGAUAAGGAUAUAGGAGGGAAGACUAAGUCAUAAGUAUUCAGCUUUAGACAAGUUUGGCAGAUCCAGAAUCAUGAGGUUGGUUCUUUGCUGCGUUAUCAAGAGGCCUGUUAAGCAAUGCUGUGGCUCCUGCCUGAAGCCAUCCUGGGAAGCUGCUCUUCCAGCAUGCAGGGCUCUCACUUUUGCUAACGCUUUCAGGCCAUCUGCUUUUUGUUCUGUGAUUUCCUUCUUUCUCCUUCCUUGUUGUGCACCUCACUGCUUUGUUAGUCAUUCCUACACCCCCUCCAGUUCUUUUGUGCUGCACGUUCUGAUUUAUAUCUAA